rnacentral:rRNA from 1 species
GUCGAGCGGAAAGGGCCCUUCGGGGNNUACUCGAGCGGCGAANCGGGUGAGUAANCACGNUGNNAGUAAUCUGCCCNNUGCGCUCUGGGAUAGCCACCGGAAACGGUGAUUAAUACCGGAUAGGACCACUUCACGCAUGUGAUGGUGGUGGAAAGUUUUUUCGGCGCAGGAUGUGCUCGCGGCCUAUCAGCUUGUUGGUGAGGUAACGGCUCACCAAGGCUUUGACGGGUAACCGGCCUGAGAGGGUGACCGGUCACACUGGGACUGAGACACGGCCCAGACUCCUACGGGAGGCAGCAGUGGGGAAUAUUGGACAAUGGGCGGAAGCCUGAUCCAGCAACGCCGCGUGAGGGAUGACGGCCUUCGGGUUGUAAACCUCUUUCAGUACCGACGAAGCGCAAGUGACGGUAGGUACAGAAGAAGGACCGGCCAACUACGUGCCAGCAGCCGCGGUAAUACGUAGGGUCCGAGCGUUGUCCGGAAUUAUUGGGCG